rnacentral:rRNA from 1 species
GUAGUCCACACCGUAAACGAUGAGUGCUAGGUGUUUGAGGGUUUCCGCCCUUAAGUGCCGCAGCUAACGCAUUAAGCACUCCGCCUGGGGAGUACGACCGCAAGGUUGAAACUCAAAGGAAUUGACGGGGACCCGCACAAGCGGUGGAGCAUGUUGUUUAAUUCGAAGCAACGCGAAGAACCUUACCAGGUCUUGACAUCCCUUGACAACUCCAGAGAUGGAGCGUUCCCUUCGGGGACAAGGUGACAGGUGGUGCAUGGUUGUCGUCAGCUCGUGUCGUGAGAUGUUGGGUUAAGUCCCGCAACGAGCGCAACCCUUAUUACUAGUUGCCAGCAUUCAGUUGGGCACUCUAGUGAGACUGCCGGUGACAAACCGGA